GUACUAAUACAAGACCGAUAUGGUACAAUACGGAUGGUAUGGAGCGGUAUAGUAUUCCAUGAUACUGAUACUGUGGUUUAAAAAAUAAAACAUACCAAAACAAAAAGAGAAAACUCAAACUUGAGAUCACAAUUUCAAAAGAUGUUGCCAGUGACAAAUGUAUGAAUGAUAUCCGGAUUAUUUUAGUUUCUAGGGUAAAAACACCAGCUCUAGGAAGAAAUUUAGAUCAUAGAUGAAACUCUAACAUACUGUCCUAACUAAAUUGAUGCUCAAUUUCUGUGGCAUAAAUAUAGGCACGUGUUUUAUUAUCUGUUUAUGUGUACCUAAAAACAGAUACCCACACUUGCCAAUCUUAAAUUAUAAGUUUUGGCACUUUUAUAAGGUGCUUGGAUGCCCCCACAAGUGCUACAAGAAGAUAACCUACUAGGCCAUCAACAUUUUAACUAUAAAUUUAACUAAAUAGGACUUCAAGGAAGCAGAAAAUGGGCAAGUGUACAAAAUUAUAUUUACCGAAAACUACAUAAUCCCCAUAUAUUCUGGAGGCUAUAAAUCAUCAUUUAUAGUGAUGAUUAUUAUUUUUAUACAUGGAUGACAUCGAAGAGUCUCUGUCCAAUAUUAAUAACCCAGUCCCUCUCUGUCAGCUCCUUUAAUGUUUCAGAAAGAUGCUCCAACAAUAUUAUCCUCCUAAACAUGCCUGAGCAUCCAAAAUACUCUUAAAGUGGUGCAUCUUAUUCCUAAAGGAAGGAUGAUUGCACUCUUGACUCUUAAAGUGGUGCACCUUACAGUCUCUUCUCUAUAGAGAUGGUACAUGCUUUCUAUGGCUUCUAAACCAAUAGACACCUCUAGCUAACUAGCAUAAAUAAGCAUUAGCCCCAACAUGAUUCAAGUGCAUCGUACCGCACCAAAGAAAAAAGAAAUGGUUAAUGAUACAAUCAACCAAUGAAUUUUUACUUAAUUUUUUAUCAUUUUUUUCAUUAAGAUUUUAUCAUUAAGAUCUAUCUGAUUAAGAUCUAUCAGGUCGAAAUAACUAAAAACUCCAAAUUGAAAUGGUAAUAUUACUGAAUCGUCAGAACUAUUUCGAUAUCUCAUUUUGAGUUUCUACCCAUAAUGGAGUUUUUGUAAAUACAUAUGUAUACGGUUCUAGUUAUUGCAUUUCUUUGUUUGGAAACAUUCUUUCAUUCAAUUCUUCUUUUCUUUCUUUUUUCUUCUAGAUACUAUCCUUGAAUUCAUCUCUUUUUUGCAUUUCAUUCAAUCUACAAUCACAGACGAAACAGAAAGACUUGCCCAUAUUUUAAGUGUUUAUCUUUCCUUUUAUUGAACAAGACAACAAGUAAGGCCUCAUUGAACGGUAAAUGUAAACAAAACACUCAUACAAGGCACCAAUCAUUCUCUCCUUAAAUUGUUUUUUUCCCAAUGUAUCCACCAUUCAACUGCAUCACUUUUUUCUUUCUUUUC
rnacentral:lncRNA from 1 species